rnacentral:rRNA from 1 species
GACGAACGCUGGCGGCGUGCCUAAUACAUGCAAGUUGAGCGCUGAAGGUUGGUACUUGUACCGACUGGAUGAGCAGCGAACGGGUGAGUAACGCGUGGGGAAUCUGCCUUUGAGCGGGGGACAACAUUUGGAAACGAAUGCUAAUACCGCAUAAAAACUUUAAACACAAGUUUUAAGUUUGAAAGAUGCAAUUGCAUCACUCAAAGAUGAUCCCGCGUUGUAUUAGCUAGUUGGUGAGGUAAAGGCUCACCAAGGCGAUGAUACAUAGCCGACCUGAGAGGGUGAUCGGCCACAUUGGGACUGAGACACGGCCCAAACUCCUACGGGAGGCAGCAGUAGGGAAUCUUCGGCAAUGGACGAAAGUCUGACCGAGCAACGCCGCGUGAGUGAAGAAGGUUUUCGGAUCGUAAAACUCUGUUGGUAGAGAAGAACGUUGGUGAGAGUGGAAAGCUCAUCAAGUGACGGUAACUACCCAGAAGGGGACGGCUAACUACG